rnacentral:rRNA from 1 species
GACGAACGCUGGCGGCGUGCUUAACACAUGCAAGUCGAACGAAGAGCGAUGGAAGCUUGCUUCUAUCAAUCUUAGUGGCGGACGGGUGAGUAACGCGUAAUCAACCUGCCCUUCAGAGGGGGACAACAGUUGGAAACGACUGCUAAUACCGCAUACGAUCUAACCUCGGCAUCGAGGAUAGAUGAAAGGUGGCCUCUACAUGUAAGCUAUCACUGAAGGAGGGGAUUGCGUCUGAUUAGCUAGUUGGAGGGGUAACGGCCCACCAAGGCGAUGAUCAGUAGCCGGUCUGAGAGGAUGAACGGCCACAUUGGGACUGAGACACGGCCCAGACUCCUACGGGAGGCAGCAGUGGGGAAUCUUCCGCAAUGGACGAAAGUCUGACGGAGCAACGCCGCGUGAGUGAUGACGGCCUUCGGGUUGUAAAGCUCUGUUAAUCGGGACGAAAGGCCUUCUUGCGAAUAGUUAGAAGGAUUGACGGUACCGGAAUAGAAAGCCACGGCUAACUACGUG